rnacentral:misc_RNA from 1 species
AACGCACCUUGCACCCUUUGGUAUUCCGAAGGGUACACCCGUUUGAGUGUCAUUGUAAUCUCACUACAACUACUUUAUUGUUGUUUGUAUGUGGAUCUGGAUGUUGCCGUGUAACAAACGGCUCGUCUGAAAUGCCUGAGUGUACCCUGCUUUGCGGCGUAUUCGGUGUGAUAAAUCUUCACCGGAGUUGACUUUCGGGUCGCGUUCUGCUUAACAUGGCUCUAUGCUUCCAACCGUCCUAACAAGACAACCUUUGACAAUUUGACCUCAAAUCGGGUGGGACUACCCGCUGAACUUAA